GCCUGGCUGGCUCAGUCAGUAGAGCAUGAGACUCUUGAUCUCAGGAUUGUGAGUUCAAACUACACACAGGGCA
rfam:Felis catus isolate Cinnamon breed Abyssinian chromosome A3, whole genome shotgun sequence.